GACGAACGCUGGCGGCGUGCCUAACACAUGCAAGUCGAGCGAGUGAAUCUCCUUCGGGAGUGAAGCUAGCGGCGGACGGGUGAGUAACACGUGGGCAACCUGCCUCAUAGAGGGGAAUAGCCUUUCGAAAGGAAGAUUAAUACCGCAUAAGAUUGUAGCUUCGCAUGAAGUAGCAAUUAAAGGAGCAAUCCGCUAUGAGAUGGGCCCGCGGCGCAUUAGCUAGUUGGUGAGGUAACGGCUCAGCAAGGCAACGAUGCGUAGCCGACCUGAGAGGGUGGUCGGCCACAUUGGGAGUGGGGCACGGCACAGAGUCCUACGGGGGGCGGCAGUGGGGAAUAUUGGACAAGGGGGGAAGCCCAGAUGCGGCAACGCCGCGGGAGUGAUGACGGCCUUCGGGUUGUAAAGCUCUGUCUUCAGGGACGAUAAUGACGGUACCUGAGGAGGAAGCCACGGCUAACUACGUGCCAGCAGCCGCCGCGG
rnacentral:rRNA from 1 species